GGAUCUUCUACACACGGGUCUGGUUCUUCUACACACGGGUAUUGCACAGGUCAAAUGAUCCCUCUACCAGCAGCAGCAGCAACACCACUACCUCAUUACCAUCCCCAUCAUGAGCAUCAAGCUACUGACUGAACUGUGGCCCAGGUUCAAAUGAGACCCUUGACAACAAUAUGCCAACACCAAGUAGGAUAAUGCAAGGAAGAUAACAUGGCAGUCUCUUUCUAUCCACUGCUACAUCGGGAAUGUCACAACUCAUUCCAAUAAAGAUUUAUCGGCAGAAAGAGGACCGCAGUGGAGGACUGAAUGCAACUGAGGAAUGAAAUAAAAGUUUGUGCAUACAG